rnacentral:rRNA from 1 species
CACGUAGGGUGCGAGCGUUGUCCGGAAUUAUUGGGCGUAAAGAGCUCGUAGGCGGUGUGUCGCGUCGGCCGUGAAAACCUGCAGCUUAACUGUGGGCGUGCGGUCGAUACGGGCAUCACUGGAGUUCGGCAGGGGAGACUGGAAUUCCUGGUGUAGCGGUGAAAUGCGCAGAUAUCAGGAGGAACACCGGUGGCGAAGGCGGCUCUCUGGGACGGUACUGACGCUGAGACGCGAAAGCGUGGGGAGCAAACAGG